AGUCGAGGGGAUUGGUUUUCGGAUCAAGAGACCGGCGCACGGGUGCGUAACGCGUAUGCAAUCUACCUUUUACAGAGGGAUAGCCCAGAGAAAUUUGGAUUAAUACCUCAUAGCAUGCAGAGUUGGCAUCAACACUGCAUUAAAGUCACAACGGUAAAAGAUGAGCAUGCGUCCCAUUAGCUAGUUGGUAAGGUAACGGCUUACCAAGGCUACGAUGGGUAGGGGUCCUGAGAGGGAGAUCCCCCACACUGGUACUGAGACACGGACCAGACUCCUGCGGGAGGCAGCAGUGAGGAAUAUUGGUCAAUGGGCGCAAGCCUGAACCAGCCAUGCCGCGUGCAGGAUGACGGUCCUAUGGAUUGUAAACUGCUUUUGUACAGGAAGAAACAACAUUACGUGUAAUGUCUUGACGGUACUGUAAGAAUAAGGAUCGGCUAACUCCGUGCCAGCAGCCGCGGUAAUACGGAGGAUCCAAGCGUUAUCCGGAAUCAUUGGGUUUAAAGGGUCCGUAGGCGGUUUAGUAAGUCAGUGGUGAAAGCCCAUCGCUCAACGGUGGAACGGCCAUUGAUACUGCUAGACUUGAAUUAUUAGGAAGUAACUAGAAUAUGUAGUGUAGCGGUGAAAUGCUUAGAGAUUACAUGGAAUACCAAUUGCGAAGGCAGGUUACUACUAAUGGAUUGACGCUGAUGGACGAAAGCGUGGGUAGCGAACAGGAUUAGAUACCCUGGUAGUCCACGCCGUAAACGAUGGAUACUAGCUGUUGGGAGCGAUCUCAGUGGCUAAGCGAAAGUGAUAAGUAUCCCACCUGGGGA
rnacentral:rRNA from 1 species